UGCUGGUUAGCUUAGUCGGUUAGAGCGUGGUGCUGAUGACGCCAAGGUCACAGGUUUGAACCCUGUAUGGGUCC